rnacentral:rRNA from 1 species
AGAGACAGCAGCAGCCGCGGGAAUACGUAGGUCCCGAGCGUUAUCCGGAUUUAUUGGGCGUAAAGCGAGCGCAGGCGGUUAGAUAAGUCUGAAGUUAAAGGCUGUGGCUUAACCAUAGUACGCUUUGGAAACUGUUUAACUUGAGUGCAGAAGGGGAGAGUGGAAUUCCUUGUGUAGCGGUGAAAUGCGUAGAUAUAUGGAGGAACACCGGUGGCGAAAGCGGCUCUCUGGUCUGUAACUGACGCUGAGGCUCGAAAGCGUGGGGAGCAAACAGGAUUAGAUACCCCUGUAGUCCCUGUCUCUUAUACA